UAUCUAAUUCUUUUUAUCAACGGGAUAUAGGCUAAUGUUGGUAAGUAUCAGCAGUAUCAGUACACACUAAGAAUGUGUUUUUCCUUUUUUCAACAACUUUCAUCUGUGCCUGUCAAUCAAGGAGCAAAGGAGCAUGGUGCAGGGAGUGUAUAAAUCCGUCUCUGGUAGUUGCAGAUCAGAAAUCACCAUCAACACAAUUGUACGAACCUUCACUUCAAUGGUGAGGCACAACUGAAGGGUCCAAUCAGCUUCAUUUUGGAUGCAAUUUUAAACCUCAACCUACAGGACUUAAGGAGCAUCUGAAAAAAUCACAAUGUCUUAUGACCGGAUUCUGUCCAUCGAAAAUCUGAGUGAUGUUCCAAAUCCAUGGAAGGGAUUCACCAUGAACCGCUGCUUAGUGCUGGCACUGGUCGCACUGCUUGUGAGCUCGGGGGUGAAUGAACUGCAUGGUGCUCUGGACUCUUUUGUUAACGAGACAGGAAUAAGGUCUUUCUUUGGAAGUCUGCAGGAUGGUUCAAUAACUCAGAUCUCCAUAUGGGAUAGUUUGGUGUGGUGGUGGGGAUCUGAAGAGGUUGGAGCGAUAAGAAGAAGAAAAAAGCCCAUUGGCAACAAAGCAAUUCUAAAACCCAAAACUAAAGAAUAAAACACAUGCAGCUGCUGACAGAGGAGUGAAAGGUCAAGAGGCAGAGGUCAUCAGGUGUCACAAUAGCAUGCUUCUGAAUAAAGAACACAAACAGUCUUCAGUAUACUUUAAGGAUAGAGAAUGUUACAUUUAAUGCAUUUGUUUUUGUACUGAAGAGAACUCCAUGUCUGGCAAGACAUGCCUUAUUCUUGAAUAUUUAUCACAUUAAAUACAUAUUUUAAUUCACUCAG